UUCUCUCAUAGUGUCACCAUUUUCGCUUACUGCACUAUAUUAUGUUAUACUACUUAUGUAUCAUUUCUUUAAUAAACCUAAAGCUUAGUAUCCAGCUCGCAAGGAAUGUAAAAAUUUCAUAUAAAAAACGCUUAAGAAAUGAUCAAGAAAAUCUCCUUGGUAAACGUACCAAUCAUCAACAAUAUUCCUUAAAUCGCAAUGAAAUAUUUAUGUUACUACACACAUACAUACAUACAUAUUACACACAGAGUUUAUUUUCUUUGUUUAUUCUCUCUUGCUCUUCUAAUGUGGAUCAUUCACAAUGCGUAACCAGCUGUCAAAAUUACUUGAAGAAAUAAUGAUUUUUUUCUCUUCAGCAUUUACUUGAGAGCUGGGCAAGACUGAUAGAGAAAGAGAUUACGCAAUGCACAUGUUUUCUUUCAGUCAGCUGUUCUUGCAUACGUCACGGUUGACUUACUAUGCGCCCGAGCUUUUGUGAAAUUUUAUAUUUUUUAAAAUGCGUUAUGCAGUGUUCGGAUGCAAUAAUAACAAUGGUGAUAGUAGUGAUACGAACUGGAGAUUUUUCCAUUCCACUAAGGAUAAAACAGUAUUAAAACAAUGGAUUCAUUUUUGUCGUCGUACGGACAAAAUUAAUGUUAACAAGUAAGGAAGGGCUAAGUUCGGGUGUCACCGAACAUUUUAUACUCUCGCAUGAUAAAGUGCUAAUCGAGAUUUCAUUAUCCGUCAUUUACAUAUUUUUCAAAUACCGUAUUUGUGUAAAGUUUUAUUCCGCUAUCAUCAUUGGUUCCUAAUGUAUAUACUCGUAUUAUACAGAAAAGGCAUCAGAUGGAAUUCAAAAUAGCGUUAUAUUGGAAUAAGGCGUGGUUGUGAACCGAUUUCACCCAUAUUUCGUACAUGUCAUCAGGGUGUUAAGAAAAUAUUAUAUACCAAAUUUCAUUGAAAUCGGUCUAGUAGUUCCUGAGAUAUGGUUUUUGGUCCAUAAGUGGGCGAGGCCACACCCAUUUUCAAUUUUUAAAAGAAGUUUGGGUGCAGCUUCCUUCUGCAAUUUCUUCGCUAAAAUUUAGUGUUUCUGACGUUUUUUGUUAAUCGGUUAACGUACUUUUAGUGAUUUUCAACAUAACCUUUGUAUGGGAGGUGGGGGUGGUUAUUAUCCGAUUUCUUCCAUUUUUGAACUGUAUAUGGAAAUGCUUGAAGGAAACGACUCUGUAGAGUUUGGUUGACAUAGCUAUAGUAGUUUCCGAUACGUACAAAAAACUUAGUAGGGGGCGGGGCUACGCCCACUUUUCCAAAAAAAUUACGUCCAAAUAUGCUCCUCCCUAAUGCGAUCCUUUGUGCCAAAUUUCACUUUAAUAUCUUAAUUUAUGGCUUAGUUAUGACACUUUAUAGGUUUUCGGUUUCCGCCAUUUUGUGGGCGUGGCAGUGGGCCGAUUUUGCCCAUCUUCGAACUUAACGUUCUUAUGGAGCCAAGAAAUACAUGUACCAAGUUUUUUCAUGAUAUCUCAAUUUUUACUCAAGUUACAGCUUGCACGGACGGACAGACGGACGGACGGACAGACAGACAUCCGGAUUUCAACUCUACUCGUCACCAUGAUCAGUUUGGUAUAUAUAACCCUAUAUCUGACUCUUUUAGUUUUAGGACUUACAAACAACCGUUAUGUGAACAAAACUAUAAUACUCUCCUUAGCAACUUUGUUGCGAGAGUAUAAAAAUGCAUGUAUUUGUGAAGUGCACUUCGCGCCAGAAGCCUUCGAAAGAAAUUUGCUGUUUGAAAUGGGUUUAAGUUCGCGGAAUCCAACGAAGUUGCUGCCUAGCGCUUUUUCCACGUUAACCACUUCUCCUGCAGAGGCAGAACGGCAGAAAAGGAUGGAGUCUCGUCCACCCAAUAAUUCCAUAGAAAUAAUUUGGAGCAAAAACUCAGCUGGUUUUCACCAACGGCCAGUAUGUACAUAGAUUGAAAAAUUAAGAGAUGGAAGCAAACGACGCAAUUGGAAAGAAGAAGACAUAGCUAAGUCGAUCACGCUAUAUUCAACGAGCGGAAAGCGUACAAACCCUUAAGGAGAAACAACUUUCCUCUACCAGGUGUGCGCACUCUGCAAUGGUGGUAAAAAAAAAUUUAUUGAUUGACUGUUGAAGGCAGCAACUGAGCUAACACAAGCGCAAAAAUUUGUGUAGGUACUCAGUUUUGAUGAAAUGAAGGUCAGAAAGACUUACUGCUACGAUAGAUCAACUGAUUCGACAUUGCCUCCUGUUAACUACGUUCAGCUUGCAAUUAAACUCACUAAUUUACUUGAAGUAAAUUUUUUCUAAUAUACUUUGUUCCUUUAGGUUUGAUAAGUAGAUGGAAACAGCUUGUAUUCUUCGAAUAUGACUGCAAAAUGACGAAGGAAGUAUUGUUUAGCACUUUGUCAAACGUUAAAUAGUGCGGUUACAAUAUUGUUGCCAGUGUAAGCAAUUUUGGUGGAUUUAAUAGAGGCUUAUAUAAUGAUCUUGAAAUUAAUGUGGGAAAACCUUGGUUUUCACACAACGGAGACAGGAUUGUGGUUUUUGCUUAAUAAAACUACAUAGGAAUCAUUUUUUGGAUAAGGUUAAACUAGCCACAAAAUUGUUCUCCCACACAAUUGCUCAAGCAAUUACUCGAGCGGCUAGUUUACGCUUACUAGAUAAUGAAAAUUGGGAGGAAUGCCAUCAACUUUUCAAAAUUGAAAGUAAUGUUUAAAAUAUUAAUUAAAAUGUUCAUAUAUAAUAAACUAGCUG